GAAUGCUGACAUAAGUAACGAUAAAGCGGGUGAAAAGCCCGCUCGCCGGAAGACCAAGGGUUCCUGUCCAACGUUAAUCGGGGCAGGGUGAGUCGACCCCUAAGGCGAGGCCGAAAGGCGUAGUCGAUGGGAAACAGGUUAAUAUUCCUGUACUUGGUGUUACUGCGAAGGGGGGACGGAGAAGGCUAUGUUGGCCGGGCGACGGUUGUCCCGGUUUAAGCGUGUAGGCUGAUUUUCCAGGCAAAUCCGGAAAAUCAAGGCUGAGGCGUGAUGACGAGGCACUACGGUGCUGAAGCAACAAAUGCCCUGCUUCCAGGAAAAGCCUCUAAGCAUCAGGUAACAUCAAAUCGUACCCCAAACCGACACAGGUGGUCAGGUAGAGAAUACCAAGGCGCUUGAGAGAACUCGGGUGAAGGAACUAGGCAAAAUGGUGCCGUAACUUCGGGAGAAGGCACGCUGAUAUGUAGGUGAAGCGACUUGCUCGUGGAGCUGAAAUCAGUCGAAGAUACCAGCUGGCUGCAACUGUUUAUUAAAAACACAGCACUGUGCAAACACGAAAGUGGACGUAUACGGUGUGACGCCUGCCCGGUGCCGGAAGGUUAAUUGAUGGGGUUAGCGGUAACGCGAAGCUCUUGAUCGAAGCCCCGGUAAACGGCGGCCGUAACUAUAACGGUCCUAAGGUAGCGAAAUUCCUUGUCGGGUAAGUUCCGACCUGCACGAAUGGCGUAAUGAUGGCCAGGCUGUCUCCACCCGAGACUCAGUGAAAUUGAACUCGCUGUGAAGAUGCAGUGUACCCGCGGCAAGACGGAAAGACCCCGUGAACCUUUACUAUAGCUUGACACUGAACAUUGAGCCUUGAUGUGUAGGAUAGGUGGGAGGCUUUGAAGUGUGGACGCCAGUCUGCAUGGAGCCGACCUUGAAAUACCACCCUUUAAUGUUUGAUGUUCUAACGUUGGCCCCUGAUCGGGGUUGCGGACAGUGUCUGGUGGGUAGUUUGACUGGGGCGGUCUCCUCCUAAAGAGUAACGGAGGAGCACGAAGGUUGGCUAAUCCUGGUCGGACAUCAGGAGGUUAGUGCAAUGGCAUAAGCCAGCUUGACUGCGAGCGUGACGGCGCGAGCAGGUGCGAAAGCAGGUCAUAGUGAUCCGGUGGUUCUGAAUGGAAGGGCCAUCGCUCAACGGAUAAAAGGUACUCCGGGGAUAACAGGCUGAUACCGCCCAAGAGUUCAUAUCGACGGCGGUGUUUGGCACCUCGAUGUCGGCUCAUCACAUCCUGGGGCUGAAGUAGGUCCCAAGGGUAUGGCUGUUCGCCAUUUAAAGUGGUACGCGAGCUGGGUUUAGAACGUCGUGAGACAGUUCGGUCCCUAUCUGCCGUGGGCGCUGGAGAACUGAGGGGGGCUGCUCCUAGUACGAGAGGACCGGAGUGGACGCAUCACUGGUGUUCGGGUUGUCAUGCCAAUGGCACUGCCCGGUAGCUAAAUGCGGAAGAGAUAAGUGCUGAAAGCAUCUAAGCACGAAACUUGCCCCGAGAUGAGUUCUCCCUGACUCCUUGAGAGUCCUGAAGGAACGUUGAAGACGACGACGUUGAUAGGCCGGGUGUGUAAGCGCAGCGAUGCGUUGAGCUAACCGGUACUAAUGAACCGUGAG
rnacentral:rRNA from 1 species